UGGACCACCAGGGAGUUCCCAACCACUCGUUUUUAAAAUAUCCAGUUCUCUUUAACUCUCAUCUGUCUUGGAUGAUGUCAUCAAUGAUAACGUAGGCCAUGUAAUCCAGGCAGAUCUGAGAACGGACACACCUUGGGGUUUUUUCCCAGGACUUUACAACCUGAAAUCAGUGUAAACCCCUAGGGAGCAAUUGGGAGGUGUGAGGGUACCCAGACAGAGCUGGCCUUACCAUUGUGUAUAUUUUUUACAACUUAGAAUAGUAACUGUGAUUGUUUAAAGUGUGGGGCCAAAUGGAAGGUAGCAUCGGGCAGGUAGCCAUGAUAUUCUGUGCAAAAGUCUGCUUCCUUCUUUUGAGUCCUGGGUGUGAGCAGAGAAGGUAUUCCUACACCUCUGUCCUUUUGCAGAUAAAAUAUUUGAUAUAUUUGGAUAUGGAGAACACUCCAGACCUCUCUCUAAGUACCAAUUCAUGAGCUGAGGAUUUGCCAUCAUAAUAUGAUCAGUGUGAUCAAACCAUUUUAUGACAAAGCAGUUUUGCAAAAAACACAUGAUAACUUAAAAUAGUAAGUUGGUCUUUAGCCUCUCUCCCUAACGCACCACAAGGAAACUUGUGUUUGUGCUUCCCAUGAGGGAUUAGAGGCUAUUAUAUUAGAACCUCAGAGGGAAGAUGGUCUGAAAAGUCCUCUCAGAUGGUUCCGAUGGAUCUCAGUCUCAAAUUUCCUCAUUUGAAAAACCACUGUAAUAAAAUAUACACUCAGGACUGUCUGGAACAGUGAAACUGGGACUAG
rnacentral:lncRNA from 1 species